rnacentral:rRNA from 1 species
GACGAACGCUGGCGGCGUGCUUAACACAUGCAAGUCGAACGGAAAGGCCCUGCUUGCAGGGUGCUCGAGUGGCGAACGGGUGAGUAACACGUGGGUGAUCUGCCCCUUACUUUGGGAUAAGCCUGGGAAACUGGGUCUAAUACUGGAUAGGACCAUGCUGUAGGUGGUGUGGUGGAAAGAUUAGUUUCGGUAAGGGAUGAGCUCGCGGCCUAUCAGCUUGUUGGUGGGGUAAUGGCCUACCAAGGCGUCGACGGGUAGCCGGCCCGAGAGGGUGGACGGCCACAUUGGGACUGAGAUACGGCCCAGACUCCUACGGGAGGCAGCAGUGGGGAAUAUUGCACAAUGGGCGCAAGCCUGGUGCAGCGACGCCGCGUGGGGGAUGACGGCCUUCGGGUUGUAAACUCCUUUCAGCCAUGACGAAGCCCUUGUGGUGACGGUAGUGGUAGAAGAAGCACCGGCUAACUACGUG